AACGAACGCUGGCGGCAUGCCUAACACAUGCAAGUCGAACGAGACCUUCGGGUCUAGUGGCGCACGGGUGCGUAACGCGUGGGAACCUUCCCUUAGGUUUGGAAUAACUCUCCGAAAGGGGUGCUAAUACCGGAUAAUGUCUUCUGACCAAAGAUUUAUCGCCUUUGGAUGGGCCCGCGUUGGAUUCGCUUGUUGUUAGGGUAAAAGCCUACCAAGGCGACGAUCCAUAGCUUGUCUGAGAGGAUGCUCAGCCACACUGAGACUGAGACACGGCCCAGACUCCUACGGGAAGCAGGAGUGGGGAAUAUUGGAAAACCGGGGAAAGGAUGAUGCAGCAAUGCCGGGUGAGUGAUGAAGGCCUUAAAGUUGUAAAGCGCUUUUAACCGGGAUGAUAAUGACAGUACCGGGAGAAUAAGCCCCGGCUAGCUCCGUG
rnacentral:rRNA from 1 species